AUGGAGAAAAAUGAAGAUAGAACUAUUGAGGGGUGUAAUCCAGACUCCAAAGACAGCAGAGUCCAAAGCUCAUGUUUUAAUCACCGUGCUAUUUCUUUGAGGAGAGGAAUGGGUCUUAUUCACUGUCGGCAGACUGGGUGUUUUAAGCUAUAGAGAAGUUGUACCAGCUGGAAAAAUUGAACUUUGCUCUUACUUACUGAAGAAUGUCAUACUGGGCAGCCAAAAGCUCUAAACAAACAGAAUCUCCAAACUACAAGGAAUGGGUUUAACAUCUGUUGUUAAAUGUCACAGCAGGAAAUGGAAUUUCUCUGCCAUUUGUAGGUCAGGCGAGAACACAUAUGCUCCUACUGAGGAAAAUAAACUGCAAUGUAUUUUUAGCAUCCGUUGGAAGUGCUUUCAGCUGAAGAUAUUCUGCAGGAUACAGACUAUUUCACUGAAGGCCAAAGGAUUGGCCACAACGUCACCUAGAAUUCUGGAACUUGUCCUCGGGAUCUAGAAAAAAGAAAGAAAAUCAUUCCAGAAAAAGACAAAUGAAAAACACCUGUAGAAUAGUCAUGACAAAUGGUGCUAACUGUAGCACACCUGGCACUCUGAGAUGAAGCAUGUCCGGGAGGGAAGAGGGAGCAUGGGGAGCAGAGAGGAUGUCUCCCAUUCCUUUUCUGCCUAAUGCUGAAGAUAAGCCAUGAACAGGAAGCCACUAUAUGGUGCAUCUUGGUGGAAAGUGCCUGUGGGUGCCCUUGUGGGAUAGAGCAAGGCACCAUUCCAGCAGACCUAGCAGCUCCAUGGCAUGUCUGUUCAAAGAACGAUGGAGCAGAAAAGGAAGAUGCCAGUUCAUAGUUGCUACGUGUCCAUUUCAAAAUGGUUACCUAGCAACAGCUGGAGCCGGGGCUACAAGGAGUCAUACCAGUGGCUUGGAGUGGAAAAGCUUACUGAGCUACAGACUUGCUCUACUAACGGGUGAAGGGCUUGCUGUGUUUACAGAAAACCUCUCGUGGUGUGAAAAACAUCUGACAGCUUUUGAAGCCAAAACAGAAUCCCUUUUAAAGUUCCUAGAUGCCAGUGAUAGCACCUCUGUGAAUAUACAGCUUUACGGGGAAAAAAAGUCCACUUUUAAGUUUCCUGCCUACUGGGUGUGUUCAGCCAAUGGAAGGACUAGCAGCCCCACAUCUCUAGAGUCCCAAAGAAGUAACUACUUCCCAGAAGAAAUAUGGUGUCUUUUGGGAGGUUCUUCCAAAAGCAGAUCUUGAAACAAGGACUUGAAUGCAAGUAGUCCAUUUGGGAGGUGAUCCCAAGAAACAUUGGCAUGGAAGUGACAAGAAGAAACAUGGAAGAGAAAGAAAACAAACAAAAAGGUGUAUUAUCAAACAAGUCACCCUCAUGGACAGUUGAGGUUUAAUCUGUUGGGAGAGAUCUUAGCAACAGUAAAGCAUGUGCACCUGUGAGCUGUCUGCUUGAGGGGUGGGGAGUUAGAGUCUUUAUCAACAAUUCCCUUCAGGUCAUUGACAGAAGACUGGUCCAGGGGGAGUACACAUGAAGAUGCCAGGGCUGCUUCAUGACCCUUCUACUGAGUCAUGAAGACUAGAGAAAAGCAAAGAAAGGUAAAGUGUCCAAAAGCUGCACAGUGAUGCUCCCAAUGAGUUGCCGGAAAAAUGGUCUUAGUGGAGUGACAGGGUUUGAAGCCAGAAUGCUUCAGAGAAAGAAAAGAUAAUAUGUGUGAACAAUUCUCUCAAAAAGCUUGAUUCUGAAGGGGAGGAGAAAAAGAAGGCUUUCGCCCAAAGGUUAUGGGGUUAGAGCAAUGCUUUUCAAACUGGGAUGGUUCAAAGUGUUCUUUAUCCCUAAGACCUGAGAGUAUUAACAAACACACAUUGUGCCCACUGGACGCCCAUGAAAAGGGUUUCAGGAUUUCAGUUCCUCUGGUUAUAUUUGUGUUUACAAUCAACAAUCAAGUUGCAGCCAGGCAGAAAUCGUUUAAAGCUACGUUUUGAACUGGGAUACCUUGGAUGGCUUAGUGGUUGAGCAUCUGCCUUUGGCUCACAUCAUAAUCCCAGGGUCCCAGGAUCGAGUCCCACAUCAGACUCCCCACAGGGAUCUUGCUUCUCCCUCUUCCUGUGUCUCUGCCUCUCUGUGUGUGUCUCUUGCAAAUAAAUACAAAUCUUUAAAAAAUAAAAAAGAUACA
rnacentral:lncRNA from 12 species